AGUAAUACUAGAUAAUAGUAGAGGGGCGGAUGUAGCCAAGUGGAUCAAGGCAGUGGAUUGUGAAUCCACCAUGCGCGGGUUCAAUUCCCGUCGUUCGCCC
rnacentral:tRNA from 1 species